rnacentral:rRNA from 1 species
CUAGUUGGUAGGGUAGUGGCCUACCAAAGUGGUAACGGGUAACGGGGAAUCAGGGUUUGAUUCCGGAGAGGGAGCCUUAGAAACGGCUACCACGUCCAAGGAAGGCAGCAGGCGCGCAAAUUACCCACUCUAGAUACUGGGAGGUAGUGACGAGAAAUAAUGGGGGCACCCUAAAAGGGCGCCGUCUGUAAUGAACGAAACACAAAAGCGUCGGUGAGGACCUACUGGAGGGCAAGUCUGGUGCCAGCAGCCGCGGCAAUUCCAGCUCCAGUAGUGUAUAUCAACAUUGUUGCGCUUAAAACGCUCGUAGUUGGGUUGCAGAUCGUACGAGAGUAGCCUUUUGGGCGACUCUUCCAGGUUCUUUUAGAAACUAGUAUCUACUUUUUGUAAAAGAACCGGUACGAGAUUGACUAUCGGAAAGACGGCCCGUUUUCAAUAACCCGCCUGCUAUCCCGGUAAAGUGUGCCUUGAAUAAAGCAUAAUGCUAAAAGUAAGCUAGUAGCUCGGGUGUAAUAGCAUGGAACGAAUAGUGACCAAGGGCGCAAGCCCGCCCUUUCAAUUGACACAGGGGGUCUCAAUGACCAAGAGGAAAGUUUGCGGGCACUGGUACUUUGGGGCGAGAGGUGAAAUUCUUAGACCCCCAAAAGACCAACUACUGCGAAGGCAUUUGCCAAAGAUGUUUCCGUUAAUCAAGAACGAAGGUCAGAGGAUCGAAGACGAUCAGAUACCGUCCUAGUUUUGACAGAAAACUCUGCCGGCGUAGGUGGGCGGCGAUCACUCGCAAAGAGACGAAUCACCGCGGACCUUAGGGGAAACCUGAGCUUUCGGGCUGCUGGGAGAAUAUUGCUGCAAGGCUGAAAUUUAAAGAAAUUGACGGAGAGGCACCACCAGGAGUGGAGCUUGCGGCUUAAUUUGACUCAACACGGGGAAACUCACCGGGUCCAGACAUUGGAAGGAUUGACAGAGUGGUGGAUCUUUCAUGAUUCAGUGAAUGGUGGUGCAUGGCCGUUCUUAGUUGGUGGAGUGAUCUGUCAGGUUUAUUCCGGUAACGAGCGAGACCGCGGUCUUUAAUUGGCUUCCAUUAAUUAAACCUUUCACCGGGUUUAAUGGUGGAUUCGAAAUAAAGAGACAAUCGGUGCAAAGCCGGCGGAAGCGCGGCAAUAACAGGUCUGUGAUGCCCUGCGAUGUCCUGGGCUGCACGCGUGCCACAAUGGCAGGAUAAGAAGGCGGCUGGCCCGAGCGGGUUGGCGAAGCGUCAAUACCUGCCGCGAUGGGGACUGAGCCUUGCAAUUAUUGCUCACGAAAGAGGAAUUCCUCGUAGGCGCAGGUCAUGAGCCUGCGUCGAAUACGUCUCUGCCUCUUGUAC